rnacentral:rRNA from 1 species
CUUCGUAUUUGAAUUAUACAGCCAA